UAAGGAAUAUUGGACAAUGGAGGCAACUCUGAUCCAGCCAUGCCGCGUGAAGGAAUAAGGCCCUAUGGGUUGUAAACUUCUUUUAGACGGGACAAAACCCCUUUACGUGUAAAGGGUUGAUGGUACUGUCAGAAUAAGCAUCGGCUAACUUCGUGCCAGCAGCCGCGGUAAUACGAAGGAUGCAAGCGUUAUCCGGAAUUAUUGGGUUUAAAGGGUGCGUAGGCGGACUAAUAAGCCAGUGGUGAAAGCCUGCAGCUUAACUGCAGAAUUGCCAUUGAUACUGUUAGUCUUGAGUACAGUUGAGGUAGGCGGAGUGUGUCAUGUAGCGGUGAAAUGCUUAGAUAUGACACAGAACACCGAUUGCGAAGGCAGCUUGCUAGGCUGUAACUGACGCUGAGGCACGAAAGCGUGGGGAGCAAACA
rnacentral:rRNA from 1 species